rnacentral:rRNA from 1 species
AUUGAACGCUGGCGGCAGGCUUAACACAUGCAAGUCGAGCGGGGUGAUGGUGCUUGCACUAUCACUUAGCGGCGGACGGGUGAGUAAUGCUUAGGAAUCUGCCUAUUAGUGGGGGACAACAUCUCGAAAGGGAUGCUAAUACCGCAUACGUCCUACGGGAGAAAGCAGGGGAUCACUUGUGACCUUGCGCUAAUAGAUGAGCCUAAGUCGGAUUAGCUAGUUGGUGGGGUAAAGGCCUAACAAGGCGACGAUCUGUAGCGGGUCUGAGAGGAUGAUCCGACACACUGGGACUGAGACACGGCCCAGACUCCUACGGGAGGCAGCAGUGGGGAAUAUUGGACAAUGGGGGGAACCCUGAUCCAGCCAUGCCGCGUGUGUGAAGAAGGCCUUAUGGUUGUAAAGCACUUUAAGCGAGGAGGAGGCUCUUUUGGUUAAUACCCAAGAUGAGUGGACGUUACUCGCAGAAUAAGCACCGGCUAACUCUGUGCCAGCAGCCGCCGUAA